CAUAAUAAAAUAAUAAUGGAAAUUUUGAUACAUCAAAAUUCGGUAUUUUCUCAACUUUUUGCUUACGUAUAUAAACAUUUGAAAAAUUAAAAUAAUUUGAUAUAAGUUUUUGCAUAUUCUUCGUAAAAUAUUUUUUCUUACUAACUUUGCUUUAAAGUGUUUCAUAAUUAGUUAACGUAAUAAUCGUAAUUAAUUAUACAGUAUUAGAAACCAUCUUGCCAAAGAAGCAUUGCUUUCUUGUUUCUUUCAGAGCGUCAUUCCGAAGUAGGAUUACUGAUUAGGGUUAACGUUAGGUUUGUUUUGAUGCUUAGUUAUAUCCAUUGCAUUUGUGAACAACAUUCUCAGAAACAUUUCAUUAAAACAAAUAAUUAAUGAAACUGAAUUGAAAGAGAAACUAUUAGUGAUAUUUCAUCCGUAACAAUUAGAAAAAUCUUACUGACCAGCCACAAUUUUAAGGUCCUACUCAAUUGAUAAUGAAAAACAGCAGUCAUUGUCAAUUGUGAUACAACUCAGACGAAUAAUAAAAUAAAGCGAAAAGAUUCUGUGAUUGCUUAAGUAUUGUGGAAUCAUGGUUUGAAAGACAAAAACUGACAUUCCAUGGAACCCAACUGUGGAGAAGAAGUAAAACAAUUAAAACCAGGGAUGAAACGGGACGGCCCAUGUGCCCAAUGUGUUGGAAGACAUUUUUUGACAUGAGUAACCUUAGAAGACACAUGGAGAUCCAUGAUCCAUAUCGAAGUCCCCAUGCUUGUUCGGUCUGUAAGAAACAAUUUGCCUGGAAGACCCAUUUAGCAACCCACAUGAGAAGUGAACAUCCUGAUUAUCAGUAGUUUGUUUUUCAUUUUCUAAAGUUAUGAAGAAUGUUGUUUCAAUUUUGAAAUUGCAUAUGUUUCUCUAUUUAUGUUAGAAUAAAAAUGAAAUUUUCAGACCACAGAUUAGCUUAUUCUUAUUUUACAGAUUAUCUCUAUGCAAAAGAUAUUUCACUCUUUGGCCUAGUUUUUUGUAAAAUGUUCUAUUUAGCGGCCAUGUUACAUGAAAGAAGAGACUGUAACAAUGUACUUAUAUGAAAUGUUUUUACUACAAUGAUAAAUAUAGGACAUGAUCCUGUGUAAUGUAUAAUAUAGUGAAUAAAACUAAUUUUUAUACAA